AUGGACGCGCCCGGUUCAGGAGCAACAGAACCGGUCGAGGAGGACCGGAUCGAAGAACCGGCCUGCAACUCCAACGCCUCCUCCCCGACCGCUGCUGCGCCGCCACCUCCACCUCCCCCCGCGACGCCCCUCCACCUCGACCAGGCCGGAGGCGGCGCCGAUGGGUCGAGCCCCGCCACGGUGGUCGACCCCCGGAAGGGCAAGGGAAUCUCCACCAUUCCUUCUCCUCCGAGCUCCGCGAGCAGCAGCAGCAGCAGCUCCCUCGACUUCGGCGCGGCCUUCGGAGACGAGGUCGGGGAGUCGAGCAAGAUGGGCGGCAGAAAGGCGCGGGUGAGGUGGAGCCACCCCGUGGUGGCGGAGACGAGGGAGGUGCCCGACGCGGCGGCGCAUCCGUUGGACUUGGACCCCAAGCUGGUGGCCAGGCAGCGGCUUAUCGAGCGGCUGAUUGAAGCGCAGGCGGCCGUCGACAAGGAGCAGCCGUUCGACCCCAACACGGUGUUCGAGCAGACGGUGAUCGAGCAGCUGAUUCAAGAGCAGGCGGCCGUCGAGGAGGCGAACAGGCGACGGGAACAGCAGGCGGCCGUCGACAAGGAGAACAGGCGACGGGAACAGCAGGCGGCCGUCGAGGAGGGGACCAGGCGAUGGGAACAGCAGUACAACUCGUUGCGCGCGGAAGAGGCGAUGUACCAGAAGGAACAGGAGAAACUAUCACAAGUACAGGUUGUGGUAAAGGUGACACCCAAGCAGGACAAACUACCGCAAGUAAAGGGGAAAUCGAUCUGGAGUCGGGUCAAGAACAAGAUUUUUUGUGGAAAAGUAAGGGAAAUAUGUUCGGAACAUGUGAAGCACCAGACACAUCCCAUCACUGAAGUCAGAAGAUAUCAUAGGCUUGCUUCUGACGAGGCGAACCAUCUUGAUGCCUAUUCGGAAUAUCGAUCGGUUAUUGGAGAUGGGGAGUGUUUCUACAGGAGCUUCAUAUUUUCAUACCUUGAGCAAGUUAUUGAUAGGCAGGACACACAUGAGGAACAGCGUCUCCUUGAUGUUGUUCAAAGACUGUCUACGCAACAUGCAAAUCUUCGAUGGAACUCUGAGUUUUCCAGGAGCAGCAGAGCAUUUAAGGAUCUGAUCAAGAAAGUGAUGAGAUGGAAGAAACAUGGCAGGCGGAACAGCAUGGAAUCAACUAGCAGCAACCGUAAAGAGAAACUUCUCGAGUUCUUCAGCAAGUACGAUACGACGCUUGACAUCUUCAUUUUCCUCAGAUUAGUAGUAGCUAUCGAGAUAUGCUCGCACGAGGAGGUGUAUGAACUGCUUAUACCAGGGCUCAGAGGAAAUUACAGUCUGGAAGAUUGGUGUAUUCGGCGUGUCACUCCAGCUCGUCGGUUCACGGAUCAUGUUAUGAUGGUGGCCUUGGCCACAGCGCUUGAGGUACCCCUCAGGGUGGAGCGAGUCCGAGGAGGACAUGAUCCAGAUAUCUACACUGUUCCUGGAGUUCUCUGUCCGAGAGUGACCCUGCUGUACUCCGGAGAUCACUACGGAAUCAUCUACCCACGUGCUCCUCCUGCUGAGAAUUCAAGUCAUCAGGCUUCCUAG
rnacentral:rRNA from 1 species